rnacentral:rRNA from 1 species
UGAGUAACACGUAUCCAAUCUGCCGUCUACUCUUGGACAGCCUUCUGAAAGGAAGAUUAAUACAAGAUGGCAUCAUGAGUCCGCAUGUUCACAUGAUUAAAGGUGUUCCGGUAGACGAUGGGGAUGCGUUCCAUUAGAUAGUAGGCGGGGUAACGGCCCACCUAGUCUUCGAUGGAUAGGGGUUCUGAGAGGAAGGUCCCCCACAUUGGAACUGAGACACGGUCCAA